CCUACGGGAGGCAGCAGGGCGGAAUCUUGCGCAAUGCCCGAAAGGGUGACGCAGCGACGCCGCGUGAGGGAUGAAGCUCUUCGGGGUGUAAACCUCUUUUGCAGGGGAAGAAUUCUGACGGUACCCUGCGAAUAAGUCCCGGCCAAUUACGUGCCAGCAGCCGCGGUAAAACGUGAGGGACGAACGUUGUCCGGAAUCACUGGGCGUAAAGGGUACGCAGGCGGUGGAGAAAGUCGGGUGUGAAAGCCUCAGGCUCAACCGGAGGGGGACGCCCGAUACUUCUCCACUUGAGGAAGGGAGAGGGAGGUGGAAUUCCCGGUGUAGCGGUGAAAUGCGCAGAUAUCGGGAGGAACACCAGUGGCGAAGGCGGCCUCCAACCCCUUUCCUGACGCUCAGGUACGAAAGCAAGGGGAGCGAACCGGAUUAGAUACCCCUGUAGU
rnacentral:rRNA from 1 species